UAGUAACUGCGAGUGAAGAGGGAAAAGCUCAAAUUUAAAAUCUGGCGGGCUCUGUCCGUCCGAGUUGUAAUCUGGAGAAGCGUUUUCCGCGUCGGACCGUGCAUAAGUCUCCUGGAACGGAGCGUCAUAGAGGGUGAGAAUCCCGUCCAUGGCACGGACCGCCGAUGCUUUGUGAUACGUUUUCAAAGAGUCGAGUUGUUUGGGAAUGCAGCUCAAAAUGGGUGGUAAAUUCCAUCUAAAGCUAAAUAUUGGCGAGAGACCGAUAGCGAACAAGUACCGUGAGGGAAAGAUGAAAAGCACUUUGGAAAGAGAGUUAAACAGUACGUGAAAUUGUUGAAAGGGAAACGCUUGAAGUCAGUCGCGUCCGACGGAACUCAGCCUUGCUUCGGCCUGGUGUACUUUCUGUCGGACGGGUCAACAUCAGUUUUGACCGGUGGAGAAAGGUAGGGGGAAUGUAGCGCUGUUUCGGCGGCGUGUUAUAGCCCCUUGCUGUAUGCAUCGGUYGGGACUGAGGACCGCAGCACGCCAUUUUGGCCGGGGGUUCGCCCCACGUACCGUGCUUAGGAUGUUGGCAUAAUGGCUUUAAGCGACCCGUCUUGAAACACGGACCAAGGAGUCCAACAUGCUUGCGAGUGUUCGGGUGGAAAACCCUUGCGCGUAAUGAAAGUAACAGUUGGGAACCUCCGCAAGGGGGUGCACCGACGCCCGGCCCUGAAGUUCUCUGACGGUGCUGCGGUAGAGCAAGUAUGCUGGGACCCGAAAGAUGGUGAACUAUGCCUGAAUAGGGCGAAGCCAGAGGAAACUCUGGUGGAGGCUCGUAGCGAUUCUGACGUGCAAAUCGAUCGUC
rnacentral:rRNA from 1 species